UGGUGGGUAGUUUGACUGGGGCGGUCUCCUCCUAAAGAGUAACGGAGGAGCACGAAGGUUGGCUAAUCCUGGUCGGACAUCAGGAGGUUAGUGCAAUGGCAUAAGCCAGCUUGACUGCGAGCGUGACGGCGCGAGCAGGUGCGAAAGCAGGUCAUAGUGAUCCGGUGGUUCUGAAUGGAAGGGCCAUCGCUCAACGGAUAAAAGGUACUCCGGGGAUAACAGGCUGAUACCGCCCAAGAGUUCAUAUCGACGGCGGUGUUUGGCACCUCGAUGUCGGCUCAUCACAUCCUGGGGCUGAAGUAGGUCCCAAGGGUAUGGCUGUUCGCCAUUUAAAGUGGUACGCGAGCUGGGUUUAGAACGUCGUGAGACAGUUCGGUCCCUAUCUGCCGUGGGCGCUGGAGAACUGAGGGGGGCUGCUCCUAGUACGAGAGGACCGGAGUGGACGCAUCACUGGUGUUCGGGUUGUCAUGCCAAUGGCACUGCCCGGUAGCUAAAUGCGGAAGAGAUAAGUGCUGAAAGCAUCUAAGCACGAAACUUGCCCCGAGAUGAGUUCUCCCUGAGACUUAGAGUCUCCUGAAGGAACGUUGAAGACGACGACGUUGAUAGGCCGGGUGUGUAAGCGCAGCGAUGCGUUGAGCUAACCGGUACUAAUGAACCGUGAGGCUUA
rnacentral:rRNA from 3 species